ACACGUUUAUCGGAACCGCGUGAUAUUCGAUUAAGUGUAUUCAAUUAAACGUAUAAUAAUUGUUUACGGAUAUCGUUUUUACGUUAAAUCAACACACAUUAAGUACGUGUAUUAUUAUAAAAAAAAUUUUCCAAUGAACACGCUUAUUAAACGUGUUUGAACCACGAAAAAUGGUGGCUAUAACAGGUAUAUAUUAAACGUCUACGUUAACAUUUAAAUUGCGUUCUUUCAUACUUGUUUCAUUACGUUUCCGAAAACCGUAAUUUCGACGUUUACUUCAACCGUGGAAUAUCCGGAUCAUAAUCACUAACAGAAAACUGAUCUCACAAGGGGAGUGUCAAACUUGGGAAUCACAGAUUUCCAUCACUUUUCUAUAUAUUGUAGGGCAGGGUCCCCUCAAUAAAUAUAUAAAGCGGCAAGACGCCAUUCGUUUUUAUUAUUGAGAAAUUUCAACUCAAAGUUCUAUAUGUAACUUAAGUAGAAGGAACCUUUUUACCGGUUGCAGCAAUAGUUCCGUGGCGUAGCGGUAACGCUCUUGCUUACGGAGCGACUUUAUUUUUGAUAAUAUUGAUUACUUUGUUAUUAUAAUUAUUACAAAUCCUAUUUUUAUCAUUUUUUGUAUUUUUUCCUAACUUAAAAAUAAAAAAAUAAUUUAUAGAAAUAUUAAUUAUUAAUUAUUUAUUUUUGUAUUAAAUAAUUUAUAAAAAAAAAAAAAGUAACUCUGACGGAACUUGAACAGCCGUUCGGUCCCUCAGUAAGCAAGAGCGUUACCGCUACGCCACGGAACUAUUGCUGCAACCGGUAAAAAGGUUCCUUCUACUUAAGUUACAUAUAGAACUUUGAGUUGAAAU